rnacentral:rRNA from 1 species
UGAAUACGAGACGCUAAGGCGUCGAAGUAGUGUAUGUCAUACUUCCAAGAAAAGCUUGCACUGUCAUAGAUAAAAAACGCCUGUACCAUAACCGACACAGGUGGGUAGGUAGAGUAUACUAAGGGGCGCGAGAUAACUCUCUCUAAGGAACUCGGCAAAAUAACUCCGUAACUUCGGGAGAAGGAGUGCCUUAUUCGUAAGGUUGCAAUAACAAGAUCCAAGCAACUGUUUAUCAAAAACACAGGUCUCCGCUAAGUCGUAAGACGAUGUAUGGGGGCUGACGCCUGCCCAGUGCCAGAAGGUUAAAGAAGUUGGUUAGCAAUUGCGAAGCUGAUAACUGAAGCCCUGGUGAACGGCGGCCGUAACAAUAACGGUCCUAAGGUAGCGAAAUUCCUUGUCGGGUAAGUUCCGACCCGCACGAAAGGCGUAAUGAUUUGGAUACUGUCUCGGAGAGGGGCUCGGUGAAAUAGACUUGUCUGUGAAGAUGCGGACUACCUGCACCAGGACAGAAAGACCCUAUGAAGCUUUACUGUAACUUGAAAUUGAAAUUGGACUUUAUUCGCGCAGUAUAGGUGGGAGGCGUUGAUUAUAAUCUUGUGGGAUUAUUGGAGCCAUCAGUGAGAUACCACUCUUGUAAUGUUAGAUUUCUAACUUUGAAUCAUUAUCUGGUCAAAGAACAGUUUCAGGCGGGCAGUUUGACUGGGGCGGUCGCCUCCUAAACGGUAACGGAGGCGUACAAAGGUUUCCUCUGAACGGUUAGAAAUCGUAUCUAGAGUGUAAAGGCAUAAGGAUGCUUGACUGUGAGACCUACAAGUCGAGCAGGGACGAAAGUCGGUCUUAGUGAUCUGACGGUACUGAGUGGAAAGGCCGUCACUCAACGGAUAAAAGUUACUCUAGGAUAACAGGCUGAUCUCCCCCAAGAGUUCACAUCGACGGGGAGGUUUGGCACCUCGAUGUCGGCUCAUCGCAUCCUGGGGCGGUAGUACGUCCCAAGGGUUGGGCUGUUCGCCCAUGAAAGCGGUACGCGAGCUGGGUUCAGAACGUCGUGAGACAGUUCGGUCCAUAUCCGGUGUAGGCGUUAGAAUAUUGAGAGGAGCCUUCUUUAGUACGAGAGGACCGAGAAGGACAUACCUCUGGUGUACCAGUUAUCGUGCCAACGGUAAACGCUGGGUAGCUAUGUAUGGAGUGGAUAACCGCUGAAAGCAUCUAAGUGGGAAGCCCACCUCAAGAUAAGUAUUCUCACC